CCCCUAUUUUCAGCCCUUGCAUUGCGCCCUAUUUUCAGCCCCUGAUCUGCGCCCUAUUUUCAGCCCCAGACCAUUGCGCCCCAUUUCAGGACAUUGCGCUGCGCCCCAAUUUUGGGGGCUCUGGAUUUGCCCCCCCCCCCAUUUUCAGACACGGAUUUACCCCCCCCCCUUUAUUUGCCCCCUAUUUUCAGACACUGCGCUGCCCCCAACUGGGGGCAUCAGAUUUGCCCCCAAUUUUCAGACGUGGAUUUGCCCCCUAUUUUCAGACGCAGAGCUGCCCCCCAUUUUGAAAUGAAGCUCUGUGCUCAUUUGGGGGUCACAGCGCUGCCCCCCAUUUUCAGACGUGGAUUUGCCCCCUAUUUUCAAACACAAUUUGCCCAUUUUCAAACACAAUUUGCCCCCUAUUUUCAGACUCUGAUAUUUGCCCCCUAUUUUCAAACACAAUUUGCCCCCUAUUUUCAAACACAAUUUGCCCCUAUUUUCAAACCC
rnacentral:lncRNA from 1 species